UACGAAGGGGGCUAGCGUUGUUCGGAUUUACUGGGCGUAAAGCGCACGUAGGCGGAUCGUUAAGUCGGGGGUGAAAUCCUGGAGCUCAACUCCAGAACUGCCUUCGAUACUGGCGAUCUCGAGUCCGGAAGAGGUGAGUGGAACUGCGAGUGUAGAGGUGAAAUUCGUAGAUAUUCGCAAGAACACCAGUGGCGAAGGCGGCUCACUGGCCCGAUACUGACGCUGAGGCACGAAAGCGUGGGGAGCAAACAGG
rnacentral:rRNA from 1 species